rnacentral:rRNA from 1 species
GACGAACGCUGGCGGCGUGCUUAACACAUGCAAGUCGAGCGGAGCGGCGAACGGGUGCGUAACGCGUGUGUAACUGCCCCCCUCUCUGGGAUAACAGUUGGAAACGGCAGCUAAUACCGGAUCGUGGGGGAUGACUCGCGGCCUAUCAGCUUGUUGGUGGGGUAGUGGCCUACCAAGGCGACGACGGGUAGCCGGCCUUGGAGGGCGACCGGCCACAUUGGGCUGAGAGACGGACCAGACGCCUACGGGAGGCAGCGGGGGGGAGUAUUGCACAAUGGGGGAAACUCUGAGGCAGAAACGCCGCGUGCGGGAUGAAGGCCUUGGGGUUGUAAACCGCUUUCAGCCAUGACGCGGUAGUGGCAGAAGAAGCACCGGCUAACUACGUGCCAGCAGCCGCGGUAAUAC